rnacentral:rRNA from 1 species
GGUCACACCUGUUCCCAUGCCGAACACAGAAGUUAAGCUCCUUAGCGUCGAUGGUAGUCG